rnacentral:misc_RNA from 1 species
AACGCAUAUUGCGCUCAAGCCCUCGGGCAAGAGCAUGUCUGCCUCAGCGUCGGAUAUACCCUCACACCCCUUCACACCACUCUAGCCUCUAGAGCGUGUGGACAAAGGGUGUGGACCUGGCCGCUCCAAGCUACAGCAUCCGUGCUCUGCUUGGACUGGCUGAAAUGGAGAGGUAGCCACAGGACCCCUCCGGUGGCGUGCUCGUCACGCUGCUUGGGGCGCCACAACUGGGUAGUAGAACAGGGCCCUCUUUUGCCUCAGGGUAGUAGAGGCCCUCUUCUUGGCUAGUUGUUGGUGUGCUGUCUUGCUGGCUUGUACCCUAAACACCAGGAACCUAUACUCAACAUAUCCCCUCGACCUGAGCUCAGGCAAGAACACCCGCUGAACUUAA